rnacentral:rRNA from 1 species
AUUGAACGCUGGCGGCAGGCUUAACACAUGCAAGUCGAGCGGGGUGAUGGUGCUUGCACUAUCACUUAGCGGCGGACGGGUGAGUAAUGCUUAGGAAUCUGCCUAUUAGUGGGGGACAACAUCUCGAAAGGGAUGCUAAUACCGCAUACGUCCUACGGGAGAAAGCAGGGGAUCACUUGUGACCUUGCGCUAAUAGAUGAGCCUAAGUCGGAUUAGCUAGUUGGUGGGGUAAAGGCCUACCAAGGCGACGAUCUGUAGCGGGUCUGAGAGGAUGAUCCGCAACACUGGGACUGAGACACGGACCAGACUCCUACGGGAGGAAGCAGUGGGGAAUAUUGGACAAUGGGGGGAACCCUGAUCCAGCCAUGCCGCGUGUGUGAAGAAGGCCUUAUGGUUGUAAAGCACUUUAAGCGAGGAGGAGGCUCUUUUGGUUAAUACCCAAGAUGAGUGGACGUUACUCGCAGAAUAAGCACCGGCUAACUCUGUGCCAGCAGCCGCCGUAA